rnacentral:rRNA from 1 species
GAUGAACGCUGGCGGCGUGCUUAACACAUGCAAGUCGAACGGAAAGGCUCCUGCUUGCAGGGGUACUCGAGUGGCGAACGGGUGAGUAACACGUGGGUGAUCUGCCCUGCACUUCGGGAUAAGCCUGGGAAACUGGGUCUAAUACCGGAUAGGACCACAUUUUGGAUGGUGUGGUGGAAAGUUUUUCGGUGUGGGAUGAGCUCGCGGCCUAUCAGCUUGUUGGUGGGGUAAUGGCCUACCAAGGCGUCGACGGGUAGCCGGCCUGAGAGGGUGUACGGCCACAUUGGGACUGAGAUACGGCCCAGACACCUACGGGAGGCAGCAGUGGGGAAUAUUGCACAAUGGGCGCAAGCCUGAUGCAGCGACGCCGCGUGGGGGAUGACGGCCUUCGGGUUGUAAACUCCUUUCGCUAGGGACGAAGCGUUUUUGUGACGGUACCUGGAGAAGAAGCACCGGCUAACUACGUG